ensembl:lncRNA
GAAGCGGUGCUCCUUAAACUAAAAUAAACCCGCUGCUGGACGGCGGCGAAGCGACUUGUGCCGCUCGCGCCCCGCCGCCGUCCUGGCGUCAGUCGGUUGGAGCUCUAGACGCCGCUAAACGUGAGGGUACGCAAACGGCGCCUGGGGCCUUAACACUAGCGGUGCGACUCGUAGGAAAGUUUAAUAAAUAUGUGUGCCGCUCGCGGGGGAGCGCGUGGGGACCUUUGUCGUGGUGUAACGUCGUCGGGGAGCCUCUCGACCCGCCGAGGCAGCUUCAGACUUCAACGUGUGGUUGAGGCGCAGUUUAGUUUCUCCGUCUGACGGGGUAUUCAUUCCUUGAGGAACUUUCUCCCGUCAAACUACACUUAGUUUCACUUAGUUUCAGUUCAUAUAUUAUUGUCAUAAAUAACAAUGCAUACAUUUCCCAUAACCGUUCAAUUCGGCUAUAUACAUUAUGUACAUGUCAGAAAAGUUGUUUAAAAAUCUUUUAAAAGCCUUAAUUGUCCAAUAUAACACAUUUUAUAACAACAUUAGACUUGAGUCUAGUUUGGCAUAAAUUAAUGUCAAGUUUGGUGCAAAAAUAGUUCAUAUUUACAAGAACAGGAAUCCAGAGCUUUACUAUGUAGGUUAUCGUUGCUAAUUCACUAAAUAAAAGGUUCUGGUUGAGGGAGAAAAACUGGGGGGGAAUAAUAAAUUCUUUUUUUUUCUUCACAUGGAGCGGACGUGCACAUUGACAGUGGCGGAGGCAGAGCCGAGCUCGUUGGAGAGCCGAAGGGUGUAGGCGCCGCCGUCGGCCUCCUUCACCGCAGAGAUCACCAGGGUGGAGAGGUCGGUGCCGGUCUCGACACGGCACCGGCCGUCCCUGUCAGGGAGGGGCUGCCCCGAGCGGACCCACUGGACCGAAGGUGCGGGAUCUCCAGAGAAAACCCCAGCCACGCUCAGGGGCUGGCCCGGCUCGGUGCUGACGUCCCGCGGGAGGUUCUCAAUCUUCGGGGGGGCGCCUGGAGACGAGGAGGAGGAUGAGGUCAGAGGUCAAGAAUUCAAAUGUGUGAACAAGAGCUUAAUUAAAAUAAUCAUAAGAAAAAGAUAAUUAUUAACCUUAUUAUUAACUGUCUUUAAUGCAGUCUUAUCGGUUAUCUUACUGUUGAACACUAUAAUUUAACAUGUAAUGAAUCAUAAGAAUAAUAAGAGUAAUUUUCUCAUCAUCACCUGCAAAUUUGGUGGCAUUUGGAUAACUGGAGAAAAAAAAAAUCUUUCUGGCGGCCUUUUUUUUGGUUUGUUUGUUUGACCAGUUUCUUAACUGUUAUCAUAACUUCAUGUUCACUGAGUCCCAUCUUAUGGAAUGAGUCAAUAACCUACUACAUUAGCAUUGGUUAUUGUUUAUAAUUCUUCAUAACCAUCACUGAAUAUUUAUUUUUAAAAUAUUACAAACAUUUAUUUUUUAUGACUUGAACCCUUGAUGCAAAAGUUUCAGAAUCCAGUUGAUGAUAUGAGCCUUAUUGUUAAAUGAGCAGGACUCAUUAUCACCUCUUUACUCACAAACAUCUCUACAUCCUGUUAUUUCGAAUCAAAGUAACCAUACACAUGGAAGCAUCUCACCUCGUUUGAGCCUCAGUGAGGAGGAGGAGGAGGAGGAGACAUCGGCAUGCGAGUGAGCAGACAUUUCCAUGACGUGGCUGCUGGAGCUCAUGGACACCACUGACUCAGCCGUCAUGGCCGACAUGCUAGACGCAGACAUGCUUUGAUACGAAUACUCGGCCGCCCCCGUCAGAACGGAAGAGUUCGAUAUACUUUCCUGCAUACUUGCAGCAGAAACUCUUUGUUCCACAAUUAGCAUUUGUGUUGGUUCUUCAACAAGAGCUGCAAGGAUGCAAAAGGACAAACACAUUUCUCACAUCACAAUGUCCACGAGUUCACGGGCGGAUCGAAAGCUAGGGGGCUCAAGCUCUGUCCUUUGAGUGGAAUGUUAAGGGUUUCUUUGGUGUAGGGCAGACGACAUGUUAGACACAGAGUGUGUAACCGUGUUAGUUUAGACGCAGCAGAAACUCACUGGUUACGCUGAGAGAGGACGUCGCGGAGCACUGCCCGAACUGAUUGGUGGCUUUUAUGGUGUAUUUCCCACUGUCUGCCACCGUGGCUUCACAGAUCUCCAGAGUGUGCACAGCCAGGGACGUGCUCAGUCUCACGUUGGACGACACAGAUAUCUGCAAAGAGAAAGUUGUGUUCACUAUUUCUCUUUAAAUAAAUUUACCCAAUAAAUAGACCACAAAUUACUUUCAGUAGACUACUCACCGUCAUGUUGUCUUUUAACCACUCCACCUUGGGGGAAGGAUCUCCUACAAGUUCACACGUGAAUUUGACUCGUUGGCCCUCGUUGACGUUCUGGGAUCUGGGCCGAACCAGGAUCUGUGGCGCGUCCGACUGCUCGGACACGACCGUCCUAUCAAAUGGACAAUGGACCUUCGCCUCCUCCACAGCGGACAGGACCUCAUCGUGGACUAUUUCCUGUUUCAUGACUUCCUCUGAGACUUCCGCUUUGGUGUUGCAGCUUUUUGAGCCUGAAGAGGGGAAAUAAAUGGAAGCGUUAGGAAACAAUCAGAAUGCUUUAAGCUGCAGGGUUUAUUCGGGCUACUUGCUUCCACCAGCAAGUGUGUUCCUACCUUGUACAGUGACUGUGCAGCUGGUCGACACUACUCUAGCACCAUUGCUGGCGGUGCACUUGUACAGCCCGCUAUCAGAGACCUCCAUUUCAUAGAUCUCCAGAUAAGCUGAGCCAUGCUUCUCAAAAAUGUCAUACUUUCCUCCCUGAGACAAAGCCUGUAAAUCGUGACAAUAUGAUUCAGUUACUCACCAACUCAAAUGACACUUUUGUAUAUGAACAGUAGAACAUUUUAAAUGGUUAUAAUCAGUUACCUCUCCAUCCUUCAUCCAUGAGAUGGUGGGUUUGGAAUCUCCUGUCACCUUCACAGAGAGCUUGACGAUGGAGUUGGAGGCGGCAGUGACGUCGCUUAGCCCGACGGAGAAGGACAGCUUCGUCUCGAGAGUUGGUGACAUCACGCUCUUUGGUGACUUGAUUGGAGAAGUGCACCAUUCCUUCUCGGUUGGAGUUGGGGAUUUGGGAGUUGGGGACUUUGGUGAGACCGGUGAUCCUGGGAGGGGCGACCACCUUCUCCAUGGACUCAGACUUGCGAAUGGCCAGAGAGAAUUGGGUCUCUUGUUUGCCUCCGGCAUUUUCCACCAGCAGAGUGUAGCUGCCUUCAUCUGACGCCUCAACAGCUGAGAUCUCGAAAGAAGAGUUGUACUGAGUGGAGACAAUGUGAUGUCGGACAGAGGAACCAAUAACUUCUCCUUCGUGCAGCCAGGUGAUAGAAGGUGCUGGCUCGCCAUCCACAUCGCACUCAAACCUGGCGAGACUUCCCUCCUCCACAGUCAGGGAUUGGGGCUUGCUCAGGAUCUUGGCAGGAACACUAGACUUUUCAACAACGGUGGUGGACUUUUUCAAAGUUUCAGUAGAACUUUCCUUAACCAUUGUCUGAGAGGAGGAGACGUGAUAAACCUCUGUUCUGGUCAUUUCUGGCAAGUGGGAGGAUGGAGGCUCCUCGUCUUUGCGGAAUGAAGAGAAGGCAGCAUAUUCUGCUCCUGCUACAUCCAAUGUGGCAUAGUCAGAAGUUUCCCCUUUGGCAUUCUUGCAAACCACGCGGUAAGUGCCGGAGUCUUCAGUCUCACAGUUGCUGAUCUUGAGAGUCAGAACCCCAUUGAUGUUAGUCAUGUGGUAUUUGCUGGUCUGAUGGAUCUCUUUGUCAUUGUGGAACCACUUGACCUGAGGCUCUGGUUUGGCCUGGAUAUUCAGGGUGAAUUUUGUGACGGAGCCGUGAGGUACUCGAUGAGAUCGCAGCCUGAUUGUAAUACGUGGGGUGUGGUCAAGGCUGAAUGGAGGCUGUGUCCCCACCUUAAUGGUCCUCUCCACCGAUCUUCUCUCUAAUCUUAGAGCCUGCUUUCUCUCCUCAUACCUGGAGGCAAAGUCCACCUCAGGAACGGUCACUUCAGUCUUGGCAGCCUGAUCUGGGGUCGUAGUUCUUCUGACAGGUUCAGGUAUUUGGAGCUUCUUGAUUGGUUUAGGAACAUAUUCGCGGGUGAAAGAUGUCAGGUGCUCAGAUUCAAUGGCCUCAGAGAAUUUUGCUAAAGUGUUGGUUGAUUCUUUUUUUAAUGUCCGAGUCUUCUCCUCAAACUCCAUGCGCUUGAUUUCACUCUUGUAAGCGGACAUUCUCUGAGCGGUUGUGUGUGGGCGCAGCAGCUCCUGUUCCUCCCUCUCAUCAUACACCUUCUGAUUCUGUCUUGGAGCUUUGUAUGUGGCUUUGUCGUGACGCUGGCGGAGGUCAACAAAACUUGUGCCAGCAUCGUAUUUAGACGGAAUCCGGUAGGAGUCAUAUCUGUAGAUUUUGUCUUCCUCUGGGUCAUCACUGUAGACCUUUCUCGGAGAGGAAGGACGCAGGGCGGACAGUUCAAAGCGAACAGGACUGUGCCUCGGUGGAGAAGCCGAGAAACCAAGCUCCAGCUCUUCCUCCAGACGCAGCCUCUCCUCCUCAGUUCUCUUCAUGGACAGGUAUUCAUUCACAGGAAGCAGUAGCUCCUCGUCCGACAGGUCGCCCAGGGACCUCCUCCUGAUCCUGUGGUAGGCCUCCAUCUCAGGGGAAGGGGUGCGAUGCCUUGCAGGCCUCACAGUCUCCAAGUCAUCCUGAGUCAAGAGCGAGAUGCGCCAUUUAGGCUUAUAGUGGUCCUUAAUCCGGAUGGGCACCUCGUAGAACUGCUCCCACCUGGAGAGGCGGAUACGCUUCAUUCUCUUCUGCUUGAUUUUAUCCAUAGGCUCAGGGAACUCGUACUGAUCCCGCAGUGUCUUGUACCAUUUCAUGUCAGAGAGUGGCUGGAAGUGUUUUAUUUCUAUAUCCUCCUCAAGAGCCGCUGGGUUCAUGACCCGAGGAGGCGGCACGUCAUAGGGCAUACGCAGCCUCUUCUCAUCAGCCCGUUUCUUCUUCUCCUGUUUUUCUUUCUGUAUCUCAGCCUCGGUCUUCUCGCCCUUCUUAGUCGUCACAGCGGGUUUGAACAUGGUGGCUGCCUCCCUGACAGCUUGCACUGCUGCCGGUGGUAAAGGUAUGAAAACGGUGUCGGCCAAAAUCUGUGACAGACGAACCUUCUUAUCUAACUCCAUCUUCCCAGCCAUUAACUUCUUCUCCUUUUCACUGGGCUCAUAUUCCUUCUUCACAUGGGUGACCCGUUCUACUUUGAGUGUUGCCUGGCAACUAGCAGAUCCAGCCGAAUUGGUCGCAGUCACUCUGUACACACCAGAGUCCUCGGAGAGAGUAUCUCUCACAUGAAGGAUAAAGUAAUCCAGACCCUCGUGCACAACCUCAAUAGAUGGUCCGAAGGCUAAAGGCAUGCCAUCCUUCUCCCACUUCAGGACAGGAUGGCCCGAUACUCUAAUCUCAAAGCGUACAUUCUGGCCCUCUCUGCACUCGACAUUUGCGAGCAGACGUUUGAACAUGGGCCUCAGGGUGAGGUCUGCCGGUUUAGGUCGAGGAACAACGGUAAGGCGGGCCUUGCAGCUGUCGUCCCCAAACCUGUUACGGGCCACAACGCUGUACUCUGCAUCAUCCUCAUUCUCAAGUUUGUGGAUAAUCAUUUGGUACAGACCCUUGUCGCUGAUGAAAGUGUAUUUUUUGUCAUCUUCUCCAGGGAUGAGCUUCUGUCCGGAUUUGUGCCAGACGACACGCGGUUCAGGGUGAACGGUGAUGGUUACGCUAAAGCGCACAUCCUCACCAAUGUAGGAUGUGCGAUUGACCAGAGGAAGGGUGAACUCCGGUGGCUUCUGAAGCAUUCUGGCAGUGUCGACUCUGCGCUUUGUCUUUUUGACGACUCGGGUGGUGAAGAAAUCACGGUAAGAUCUAACGCCGUUGACGAACAGCUCUGCAUAAGCACUAUCCUCACCAUACUCAUUUACGACCUUACAUCUGUACGUGCCGUCAUCUGCUCUUGUGACCUUGUUGAUGGUGAUCACAGCCAGGCCAUCCUCAUACUCGGUUUCAUACUUGUCACCAGCCUCAAGCUGCCUGACGCCACAGUACCAGGUCACUUCAGUCGUGCUAUCGUAGUUUUCAAUGUUGCAGAUGAAUUUCACAAUGUCUCCCUCAUUCCCCACUACAUGACCGACCUGGCCUCCAACAGGACCGUGUUCAAACGGCGCGAUCUUCACCUUGGAGACGAAGACGCCACGCUGGGACCUGAUGGAGCCUCCGCUGGCCAAGCGAGCUGCAGAGACAACAGUUUUCCACUCUUUCCUCACCAUUGUCUGGUAGUACCUCUUGUGUCUUACGGUCUGGAUGGCCCUGGUGCUGAUCUCCUCUGCGGGUUUGGUUAACCACGCAUGUGCCAGAGCCUCAGCAGCAGACAUACGAUGCUUUCGUUCCUUUGUCAUCAAGCGAUCGGUAAAGUCUAAUGCAUCAACACUGACCUGCUUGAAGGACUCAUCGUCGUAGCUAUAAGCAGCGUUUGAGAUGUUGUCAAUCAUCUGUUGGUUGGUCUCAGCUGUGAAUGGAUUCAGUCCACUGAGGAGCACAUAGGCGAGGACACCAACCGACCACAUGUCAGUAACGGUGCUAACCAUGUCAGACUGGUGGAUCUCAGGGGCAGCAUACUCUGCAGUGGUAUACUGGAUCUUUAUUUGGUCUCCAGGAGUCAGGUGUCUGGACUGGCCCAACUCAAUAAUCUUUACAUUACAGCUGGUUCUAGUUGUGUACACAAUGUUUUCUGGUCUGAUAUCAAAGUGACCAAAGCUCUCAGCAUGCAGAAACUCAAGCGCUGAGCAGAUCUGCCUGAUGUAAUUAGUAAUCUCCCGCUCAUUAAGCUCAAAAUCAGCUGUGUUGAGGCGCUCGAAAAUGUCAACGCCAGAGAUAAAGUCAUAGAUCAUCACCAGCUCCUCAGGGCUUUCGAAAGACUCGUGGAGGAGAAGGUAGUUGGUAUGUUCGGCAAGAUUCAAUGUGGCGAUUCCUUCUUGACAAUUGCUUGAUCGGCGCCUCUCACCUUGAAGAAUUUAGCCAUGUAGGUCUUCUCAGAGCUAAUGUUAACACAGCGGUGGACAAUGGCAAACUGACCUCUGCCCAAUUCCUCUGCAAUGGCAUAUUUGUUGUGCAUGUUCUUGGCCUCAGAGUGAACCUUGCCCCUGGGGACGUGGCCACUGUCGUCAACCUCCCUAUCAUAGAGCAGAACUCUUGAUUUGUCCUCUUUGGUCAUCACUGGUCCACUGGACUCAGAUGGAGCACUUUGUCCAAAUUUAUUCUCGGCGAUAAUUCUGAACUGAUAGCUGGUACCUCCAAAGAGAUUGAUCACUGUAUAGUGGGUGUCACGGGACUGGGCAACACGCUCCCACCGCUCGGCAGUGGUGGGGCACUUCUCAAUGAUGUAGCUAAUGACCCUGCUGCCUCCGUCGUUGGCCGGGGCCACCCAGUUCAGCGUGACCGAGUCUCUGGAGACGUCACUGGCUUGGACUCCACGCGGAGGAUCGGGAACGUCGGCUACGUCCAGCUCGACCGUUUGCUGGUCAAUGCCGAAUCUGUUCUUGGCGCAGACAAUGUAGAAACCGGCAUCCUUCUUCUCGACUCCAUUGGUAAACACCAAAGAGGUAAACGAUCUGGUGACAAUGACCUGGUAGUGGCCAUUGCUGUCAAUAAGAUCUUGUCCCUUCUGCCAUGUGAUGACAGGAUCUGGUUUGCCACUGAAAGGAAUCUUGAUGUUGAUCAGCUCUCCACGCAGGGCAGGGAUGGCUUCUUUGUCCUUCAGGUUCUUCGGGAGGUGAAUCUUGGCAGGGACU